GUAGCAUGAACGCCUCAGACAGCGAGGAGGACUCGUAAACGAGAGGUCGGCUCUGGUGGAGAGCCCCCCCUCCCCUCCUACAGACCCGACCCCCCAUCGACCCCCCCGACAAGAGGCAGGGGCUCAGCAGGAGGUCUGCCUCUCCGCAGGGGGUCCAGGGGGUCUCUGAAGAGGAGGAAGAGGAGGAGCUGACCUUAAAGUACGGAGCGAAGCAUGUGAUCAUGCUCUUCGUCCCGGUGACGCUGCAUGAUCGUCGUCGUGGCAACCAUCAAGUCCGUCAGCUUUACACGGAGAAGACGGACCAGCAGCUGAUCUACACCCCUUCUCAGAGAACGUGUCCUCGGUGGGCCGGCGCCUCCUGAACUCGGUUCUGAACACGAUCAUCAUGAUCAGCGUCAUCGUGGUGAUGACCG